rnacentral:rRNA from 1 species
UACGUAGGUGGCAAGCGUUGUCCGGAUUUAUUGGGCGUAAAGCGAGCGCAGGCGGUUCCUUAAGUCUGAUAUGAAAGCCCACGGCUUAACCGUGGAGGGUCAUUGGAAACUGGAGGACUUGAGUACAGAAGAGGAGAGUGGAAUUCCACGUGUAGCGGUGAAAUGCGUAGAGAUGUGGAGGAACACCAGUGGCGAAGGCGACUCUCUGGUCUGUAACUGACGCUGAGGUGCCAAAGCGUGGGUAGCGAACAGGAUUAGAUACCCU